GUGCCUGAGAAGAAUAUGCAUUCUAGAACUGUUAGAUGGAGUGUUCUGUAUAUGUUUGUUAGUCCACUUGGGUUAUAGUGUUAUUCAGAUCUUCUGUUUCUUUAGUGGUUUUCUGUCUGGAUGAUCUGUCCUGGGUGACUACCAAAUGGGGAAGUGCCUCCAGAUGCUCCAUAUUUAAGACAAGGAGCUCUACCUCCGGACCUCAGCAAAGCUGUGUGGAACUGAGAAAGGGCUGCCCCCAUAGUCAGAGAGAGAAGAAAUGAGAAAUGCCAGCACGAGAAAGAAAAUCAGCAGGAAACAGAAGCACGUCUUCUCGCCUUAUUGCACAAGCUGAGAUUGUGCUGUUCGAAAGAGCUUUUCAUUCAGGCACUUGUUUCCAUGUCUCACCUCUGGUCCCUUCCACAAGUAUUUGUCAAUGAAAAACUUCACAAAGGCAAUCAUUGUAAACACAGAAAUUACAACCACAGAUGCUGAUUUUCCAAACAGAGAAAGCAGGAGAUUGCUUAUAAUAAAACUACCCCAGUUUC